UACGGAGGGUGCGAGCGUUGUCCGGAAUCAUUGGGCGUAAAGGGCGCGUAGGUGGCCCGGUCAGUUCGUGGUGAAAGCGCGGGGCUCAACCCUGCGUCGCCAUGAAUACUGCCGCGGCUGGAGCACUGUAGAGGCAGGCGGAAUUCCGGGUGUAGCGGUGGAAUGCGUAGAGAUCCGGAAGAACACCGGUGGCGAAGGCGGUAUGGCUGGCUGGACGACUGUGG
rnacentral:rRNA from 1 species